rnacentral:tRNA from 1 species
AGCAGAGUGGCAUAGUGGAAGCGUGCUAGGCCCAUAACCCAGAGUUUGAUGCAUCAAAACCAUCCUCUGCUA